GAUGAACGCUGGCGGCGUGCCUAAUACAUGCAAGUCGAGCGAACAGACGAGGAGCUUGCUCCUCUGGCGUUAGCGGCGGACGGGUGAGUAACACGUGGAUAACCUACCUAUAAGACUGGGAUAACUUCGGGAAACCGGAGCUAAUACCGGAUAAUAUAUUGAACCGCAUGGUUCAAUAGUGAAAGACGGUUUUGCUGUCACUUAUAGAUGGAUCCGCGCCGCAUUAGCUAGUUGGUAAGGUAACGGCUUACCAAGGCAACGAUGCGUAGCCGACCUGAGAGGGUGGUCGGCCGCACUGGAACGGAGACACGGUCCAGGCUCCUACGGGAGGCAGCAGUAGGGAAUCUUCCGCAAUGGGCGAAAGCCUGACGGAGCAACGCCGCGUGAGUGAUGAAGGUCUUCGGAUCGUAAAACUCUGUUAUUAGGGAAGAACAAAUGUGUAAGUAACUAUGCACGUCUUGACGGUACCUAAUCAGAAAGCCACGGCUAACUACGUG
rnacentral:rRNA from 1 species